rnacentral:RNase_P_RNA from 1 species
GAAGCCCGCCAGACUGCCGCUGGUGCAAUUCUGGAAACAGAGCACUGGAGGAACGUCCGGACUGCAUAGGGCAGCGUAGCAGCUAACGGCUGUCCACUGAAAGGCCGCAAGGCUAUAAGGUGAGGAUCAGAGCAACAGAGACGAGCCGAUUAAGUUCGGGUGAAACGGGCAAUCUCUACGCGCAGCAAUACCAAGUAGGCCAGCGUUGAUGGGGCCCCCAGAGCUGGCGGGUAGGUAGCACCGAGCUGUUGGGUGACCAACAGCCCAGAUUAAUGGCAGUCACGUCCGGGGCAACCCGGGCGCACAGAAUCCGGCUUAUCGGUGGGCUUCACAC